GCUCUUCUAGUAUAUUCAUUACAAUUGACUUCCAAUCUAUAAAAUCUGGCGCAAGCCCAGAGAAGAGCA
rnacentral:tRNA from 1 species